UCAAGCGAAUAAGUGCAUGUGGUGGAUGCCUUGGCGAUUACAGGCGACGAAGGACGUAUAAGCCUGCGAAAAGCUCUGGGGAGCUGGCAAAAAAGCAUUGAUCCAGAGAUAUCCGAAUGGGGAAACCCACUCCGCAAGGAGUAACCCUAGCUGAAUACAUAGGCUAGAGGUGGCGAACCGGGUGAACUGAAACAUCUAAGUAGCCCGAGGAAAAGAAAUCAACCGAGAUUCCCAAAGUAGUGGCGAGCGAAAUGGGAACAGCCUGCAAGUGAUAGCGAUCGUGUUAGUGGAAAACUCUGGAAAGGGUUGCCGCAGAGGGUGAAAGCCCCGUACAUGAAAACAGGAUCGUGGUACUAAGUUUGCGACAAGUAGGGCGGGGCACGUGAAACCCUGUCUGAACAUGGGGGGACCAUCCUCCAAGGCUAAAUACUCGUAAUCGACCGAUAGUGAACCAGUACCGUGAGGGAAAGGCGAAAAGAACCCCGGGAGGGGAGUGAAAUAGAUCCUGAAACCGCAUGCAUACAAACAGUGGGAGCCCCUGCACAAUGGGCUUUGGUUCUUUCGGGGAGCGCGAAGCGCGACCCAAAAGAAUUAACGAUGAAAUAGAUCGCUGAAGUAAGGCGAUGAAAUAGAUUGUGAUGAGUUCAUCAGCGAAGGUGACUUCGACUCGCAAAGCGAGGCGGAAGUCACCCCUGCACGAUGGACUUGUCAGAGUCCAUCGUGCAGGGGUGACUGCGUACCUUUUGUAUAAUGGGUCAGCGACUUACAUUCAGUAGCGAGCUUAACCGAAUAGGGAAGGCGUAGGGAAACCGAGUCUGAUAAGGGCGAUUAGUUGCUGGGUGUAGACCCGAAACCGGAUGAUCUAUCCAUGGCCAGGCUGAAGGUGCGGUAACACGCACUGGAGGGCCGAACCCACUAAUGUUGAAAAAUUAGGGGAUGAGCUGUGGAUAGGGGUGAAAGGCUAAACAAAUCCGGAGAUAGCUGGUUCUCUCCGAAAACUAUUUAGGUAGUGCCUCACGUAUCACCUUUGGGGGUAGAGCACUGUUAUGGCUAGGGGGUCAUCACGACUUACCAAACCAUUGCAAACUCCGAAUACCGAAGAGUGCGAGCGUGGGAGACAGACAUCGGGUGCUAACGUCCGGUGUCGAGAGGGAAACAACCCAGACCGCCGAUUAAGGUCCCCAAGCCAUGGUUAAGUGGGAAACGAAGUGGGAAGGCCCAGACAGCCAGGAGGUUGGCUUAGAAGCAGCCAUCCUUUAAAGAAAGCGUAAUAGCUCACUGGUCGAGUCGUCCUGCGCGGAAGAUGUAACGGGGCUCAAACCAUGCACCGAAAUCGCGGAUUCAGGGAUCAGAGGUCAGGUAUCAGAUGCCAGGGAUCAGGGAUCAAAACCUGAUGCCGGAAAUCAGGAGUAAGAAGUGAACAUCAAGCGAUUUGAAGACUUGGAAGUGUUUCAGCGAGCCUAUAAGGUAUCGUUGGCGCUCCACAAGAUGACGCUCAAGAUGCCGCAGAUAGAGCAAUAUGGACUUGCCGAUCAAAUUCGGCGGGCGAGUAAGUCUGUCUGUGCGAAUUUUGCCGAAGGCUUUGGCAAACAAAGUCAAUCGAAAGCGGAAUUCAAACGUUACCUCCUGAUGGCCAUUGGAUCAGCCGACGAAAUGCGCGUCUGGCUGAGAUACUGUUUAGAUCUUGGAUACAUCGAAUCAGAGCAAUGGACAAUUUGGCGAAGCGAGUAUGAACAAAUCGCCAGAAUGCUACAGGGAUUACAAAAAGCGCUUAACCUGCGAAGCGGGGAAGGUGUUGAUCCCUGAUUCCUGACCUCUGAUCCCUGAAUGGUAGGAGAGCGUUCUGUAGGCCGUUGAAGGUGGCUUGUAAAGGCUGCUGGAGGUAUCAGAAGUGCGAAUGCUGACAUGAGUAGCGAUAAAGCGGGUGAAAGGCCCGCUCGCCGAAAGCCCAAGGUUUCCUGCGCAACGUUCAUCGGCGCAGGGUGAGUCGGCCCCUAAGGCGAGGCUGAAAAGCGUAGUCGAUGGGAAACUGGUUAAUAUUCCAGUACCUCUAUGUAAUGCGAUGGGGGGACGGAGAAGGUUAGGUCAUCCAGCAGUUGGCAACCGCAAGGUGAUGCUGGUUCAAGCGUGUAGUCGUGCCUGGCAGGCAAAUCCGCCGGGCUAAGAUGAGGCGUGAUGACGAGCGGUCUCGUACCGCGAAGUGAUUGACACCCUGCUUCCAAGAAAAGCCUCUAAGCUUCAGUUACAUGGAGACCGUACCGCAAACCGACACAGGUGGGCAGGAUGAGAAUUCUAAGGCGCUUGAGAGAACUCAGGAGAAGGAACUCGGCAAAUUAGCACCGUAACUUCGGGAAAAGGUGCGCCCCGGUAGAUUGAAAUCCCUUGCGGAUGGAGGUCGAAAGGGUUGCAGUGAAAAGGUGGCUGCGACUGUUUAAUAAAAACACAGCACUCUGCAAACACGAAAGUGGACGUAUAGGGUGUGACGCCUGCCCGGUGCCGGAAGGUUAAGUGAUGGGGUGCAAGCUCUUGAUCGAAGCCCCGGUAAACGGCGGCCGUAACUAUAACGGUCCUAAGGUAGCGAAAUUCCUUGUCGGGUAAGUUCCGACCUGCACGAAUGGCGUAACGAUGGCCACACUGUCUCCUCCUGAGACUCAGCGAAGUUGAAAUGUUUGUGAAGAUGCAAUCUCCCCGCGGCUAGACGGAAAGACCCCAUGAACCUUUACUGUAGCUUUGCAUUGGACUUUGAACCGGUCUGUGUAGGAUAGGUGGGAGGCUUUGAAGCUGGGACGUUAGUCCCAGUGGAGCCAACCUUGAAAUACCACCCUGAUUUGUUUGAGGUUCUAACCUUGGCCCGUGAAUCCGGGUCGGGGACCGUGCAUGGUAGGCAGUUUGACUGGGGCGGUCUCCUCCCAAAGUGUAACGGAGGAGUACGAAGGUACGCUAAGUACGGUCGGACAUCGUGCUCAUAGUGCAAUGGCAAAAGCGUGCUUGACUGCGAGACAGACAAGUCGAGCAGGUACGAAAGUAGGUCAUAGUGAUCCGGUGGUUCUGAAUGGAAGGGCCAUCGCUCAACGGAUAAAAGGUACUCUGGGGAUAACAGGCUGAUACCGCCCAAGAGUUCAUAUCGACGGCGGUGUUUGGCACCUCGAUGUCGGCUCAUCACAUCCUGGGGCUGUAGCCGGUCCCAAGGGUAUGGCUGUUCGCCAUUUAAAGUGGUACGUGAGCUGGGUUUAAAACGUCGUGAGACAGUUCGGUCCCUAUCUGCCGUGGGCGCUGGAGAACUGAGGGGGGCUGCUCCUAGUACGAGAGGACCGGAGUGGACAGACCUCUGGUGUACCGGUUAUGACGCCAGUCGUAUCGCCGGGUAGCUAAGUCUGGAAGAGAUAAACGCUGAAAGCAUCUAAGCGUGAAACUCGCCUCAAGAUAAGAUUUCCCUGGGGAUUUAAUCCCCCUGAAGGGUCGUCGAAGACCACGACGUUGAUAGGUCGGGUGUGGAAGCGCAGUAAUGCGUUAAGCUAACCGAUACUAAUUGCCCGUGCGGCUUGAUCC
rnacentral:rRNA from 1 species